CUUAUUUAGCAUGACUAGUAUCGAGGUUCAGAUACUCAGGCGUGCACAAAGUAGAACUGAAAAGCAAGACCACAUGCCUAGAGUUGGCAGCAUGAAUGUUCAAUUAGACUCAUUUAGCAUGAAUCUGAUUUGCAAAAAUGUUUGCAUAUCACAAAAGGAAUAGUGCAUAUGGUGGUUACGUAGUGCUGAAAUUGGCACAACAGAAAUUUUGAAUGACACCAACCAAGAAACAAGAGUUUCAAAAUUCCAGACAGCUUUUACUAUAACAACCUUAUGUUGCUUGCAGGGAUGACUAACAUAAACUUUGCAUUACAUUAAAUAUAAAAUUCACAUUGAUCAAAGUAGAGGAGCGAUAACUUUGUGAGUCCUGCCUACUAUCAUUGUGUGACAUCAGUUCCAGUCUGUCCACUGACUUCUACAAAUUAUACAUAUACUAAAUGUGAGUUGGGGGUUACUAUUUUCAAUUGUUCAUCCGCGUUGAGAAAUGACCCAGCUGUCCUUGGGUUUGGGUUUGAAUCACAAAAUUGGUGCGGGUAUUUUUGGGGAGUCAGAAGAGGUCUGUGGAGGGGUAUUUGGGGAGAGCGCGUAUUAAAAGUGAGUUGAGGUGGUGAGUUGAGAUCGGGGGUGAGAAGUGACGUAGCUGUCCCUGCUUUUAUUGACGUUGCCGUUCGGUGUGUGGGUGAAUUCACAUUAUGUGGUCGACUUUUGCGAGAUAUAUUGAACCACUAGGUGUGUAAAGAGUGAUCGAGAGAGAUGCUCGAAGCUUCUGACCCGAAAAGAGGUCGCCGACCCGGAGGAGGAACCCGACCGGAACUUUCACGUCUAGCCACCCCGCGACUGCGCAUGGGCACCAUCCUCUUCGUCUCCUCGCCGCCGUCACGCCUGUGGCCUCUGAUCGUCCAUGCACCAGACGAGGAAGAAGAAUUGACGGUGAGAAAGUCGACUGUUCUAGCGAAUUCACAACGUUUUCCGGUCACCGAUGGAGCUGCCUGCGUAUUUCCGGCCAUGCUGGGCUUCGUUUUCAUCUUGACUGCGUUGGUGGACCAGAAAUCAAGAGGCUUGCUCGGUUAUUGGCGUCAAAAUCCUCAGUUCAUCAGUUCAGUUCAGCAAGAAAUUCCGGAAAACUGAGUUGGUUUUUGAAGGUAUAUACCGCCCUUGAAUCAAGUUUUUCUCUUCUGGGGAUAAUUGGAAGUUAAACACUAUGAUGGUUUGGUUGAGGUGAUAAUCUGGUAUUGCGAUCUUGAAUCGGAAACUUGGUUGAAUUAUGGUGUUGUGCCCAGUUUAAAUGAGUUGGGCAGUUUUGAAGAUAUGUUUGAACUAGGAAGGAAGUUAGGUGAGUUGAUUGAGGUUGAAAAAAAAAAUUAAAAAAAAUCACUAGGGGUGUGUGUGUGUGUGUAUUGUGUUUUUUUGUCGAGAAUCCAGAAUAAUCGAGAGAGAGAGAGAGAGAGAGAGCUGCAAACUGAGAGUGCCAGAACAAUCUAGAGAGAGAGAGAUCUGAUCUCUCAUCGUUGCAGGCAGAAACAGAAAGAUAGAACCAAGGUUUUCUUUGCAAUUGGGUUGCGUAUCAAAAUGCCGUAUUUGACUACAAAAUUCAGGCCAGAGAAUACAUCGCGCGGGAACUUACUUUAUGAGUUCCGAUGUUAGUGGUAUGGCUGCAAUCUGAAAGAAGAUAUACUGGUGACAUUGUGGGAGGAUAUUUCACGCAGUCUUUAUAUUGAGGCUAUCAGGACUACACCGCCACCUGCGCUCGCAGUUUUCACGAGCCUCAAAUUUAAACAAUAUCAAAACAAGUUUCACUGUCAAGCACAUGAAGCACUUUUUACAUCCUCAAUCCUGACAUUCCAGGGGCUGGAGCUUACAAACAAUGAAGUUCGUUGUCCUUAUAAUACUGUCAAUAUCCUGUCACCUCUGCCCAACCAACUCAUGAGUCCUGAGGAGUACGUUGGAAGCUAUGGAGAAAAAGACUGUCGGAAUUAAACAUCUUUAAUCCCACUUAUAUAUGGUAUUUUCUGGGAGUAUAUGUUUAAACACUAUGCGUGUGAUUAACUGUGAGUUCUUAGGUAGUUGCGAAAUGGUGAGACACAACUUCAGUAGAACAGUUUCCCGUGUCUAAUUGAAAAAUUGUAAGAAGCAUGAUGCUUCUCAAUAAGUAGAAGAAUUUGACUGCUAUGCAGCAGGCUGUGGUUAUCAUGACAGGUAUUAGCGUACUGGGUUGUAUUGACAUAUAGUCCACCACCUUCUUUAAUGAUGAGGUGUAUAGUUUUAAGAUUCCUUGGGGCCCUUCUUCAGUACAUUGACGAGGUUUGGACUGUUAAGCCACUCUUGCCCUCCGAUCCUUACCUCAGAUCCCAAGCCAAGUUCUGGGCCGACUUUGUGGACAAGAAGAUACAUGGUUUGGGGAGGAAGACAUGGACAACUAAGGGAGACGAAUAGGAGGCAGCAAAGAAGGAAUACAUUGACUGCAUUAAGUUGCUAGAAGUGGAGCUUGGGGACAAGCCUUCCUUUGGCGGCGAGACCCUCGGAUUUGUUUUGCUUCUGCAGUUGUAUGACCAAGAUUGAUUUUUUGUUGGAUAUUUCGGAUUGCUUGCUUUUGGUGCAAAGAGUUUUGUGAUCGGCGUGUUAUAGUUUGAUAAAGGGUUUGCUUAUUUGAAGAUAUUUGAGACUUCGAUUUGUAUAUAUUUGAUUUAGAGGAAUUGCACAGUGUGAGGGGAAUAAGGCUGGCAAGAAAGUUGGAAAGUUCUACGGCAAGGUCAAUCCGUUCUGCUGCUGAAAUUUUAAGAUAUUUGUCAUUUAAGGUUGUUGAAUUUCUGUGCAUAUCAUAAUCAACUAGACUGUUAGAUUACCAACAUUUAGGUUGUUUAAUAUUAUGUAGACAAGCAGUUCUGCAUCUUUUGUGACCAGCAUUUUGCUAAGCUGCAGCUUUUUGGUUUUUUAAUUUAGGUGCUUUGCAGCGUUUACAUAAUAAUCUUAAGUUUGAUUUAUCUAUUUGAAAUGAUGUACUAUGUUUUGUUAGCAAAAUUUACAGUUGCAUUUGGUUUCUAAUUUAAAUAGAACUAUAUGAUUUAUCCAAAGGAAGAGUGUACUUUCAAAUUCUCUGACUGUUUAUUUCUCAUUUAUAUUUCUCAUCAAACCUACACUUUUGCAUUGAUAUUGAUCUUAAGAUUCCAUGUUAAAUUUUUGACUUUGGAAUCAAUUUGCAUGGUAUUUCCACUCAUACUUUGAUCAUGGUCUUACUGCUUUUUUGAUAGAAACUGUCUUUGGCAACUAAUUUAUGUAAAAGAAUUAAAAUUAAAAAAAAAAAAAAACAGCAGUGCAUGAA